UACGUAGGGCGCAAGCGUUAUCCGGAAUUAUUGGGCGUAAAGAGCUCGUAGGCGGUUUGUCGCGUCUGCCGUGAAAGUCCGGGGCUCAACUCCGGAUCUGCGGUGGGUACGGGCAGACUAGAGUGAUGUAGGGGAGACUGGAAUUCCUGGUGUAGCGGUGAAAUGCGCAGAUAUCAGGAAGAACACCGAUGGCGAAGGCAGGUCUCUGGGCAUUAACUGACGCUGAGGAGCGAAAGCAUGGGGAGCGAACAGG
rnacentral:rRNA from 1 species